CAGAGUUCAUGCCCUUCGGGGUAGAUCUCCCACCCGUGUAUUUAUACCUUUGUUGCUUUGGCAGGCCUGCCUCAACCACCGGCUCCGGCUGGUGAGCGCCUGCCAGAGGACCCCAAACUCUGAAUUUAAUGUCGUCUGAGUACUAUAUAAUAGUUA
rnacentral:misc_RNA from 1 species